CUUAAUGAAUUGAUGGGAGAGAAACCAAAUUUUUAAUUAGUGAAUUUGUUGUAUCGAAUAUGAAAACUGAUUUUGUUGAAAGAUGUUGGUGUCGACUGCUAAUUCAUUUGAUCCCAUCCCAAACUUCAUAAAUUUCAAUUCAAAUAUAUAGAUGCAAAGGAUUCGAUUAAAUCGAUAAAUAGAUUCGACAGUUCAAAUGUGAAUCGAUUCAGUAACAUCGAUGCUAUGGAGAAAUUUGCUCAACGCUUUGUACACUGAAUCCUUAUACGAGGAAGUGAGGUAAUUUCUUUCUUGGUCUCUAUUGGACAGUUGACCGAAGAGGCUCAAGAGGAUGUAA